AGAGUUUGAUCAUGGCUCAGAACGAACGCUGGCGGCGUGGAUAAGACAUGCAAGUCGAACGAGAUUUUUUCCUGUAGCAAUACAGGGAAAAGUCUAGUGGCGAACGGGUGCGUAACACGUGGGCAAUCUGCCUUAAAGUGGGGGAUAGCUCGGCGAAAGCCGAAUUAAUACCGCAUGUGAUCAGGGGAGACAUCUUCCCGAAAUCAAAAGUGGCGCAAGCUACUGCUUUUUGAGGAGCCCGCGGCCUAUCAGCUAGUUGGCGAGGUAACGGCUCACCAAGGCUUUGACGGGUAGCUGGUCUGAGAGGACGACCAGUCACACUGGAACUGAGACACGGUCCAGACACCUACGGGUGGCAGCAGUCGAGAAUUUUUCUCAAUGGGGGAAACCCUGAAGGAGCGACGCCGCGUGGAGGAUGAAGGUCUUCGGGUUGUAAACUCCUGUCAUUUGGGAACAAGUGUCGGUACCUAACUGCUACCGGCUUGAUAGUACCAGAAGAGGAAGGGACGGCUAACUCUGUGCCAGCAGCCGCGGUAAUACAGAGGUCUCAAGCGUUGUUCGGAUUCAUUGGGCGUAAAGGGUGUGUAGGUGGCGCCGUAAGUCGGGUGUGAAAUUUCGGAGCUUAACUCCGAAACUGCAUUCGAUACUGCGGUGCUUGAGGACUGGAGAGGAGACUGGAAUUCAUGGUGUAGCAGUGAAAUGCGUAGAGAUCAUGAGGAAGACCAGUGGCGAAGGCGGGUCUCUGGACAGUUCCUGACACUGAGACACGAAGGCCAGGGGAGCAAACGGGAUUAGAUACCCCCGUAGUCC
rnacentral:rRNA from 1 species